GAGGGGGGUAGAAUUCCAGGGGUAGCGGUGAAAUGCGUAGAGAUCUGGAGGAAUACCGGUGGCGAAGGCGGCCCCCUGGACGAAGACUGACGCUCAGGUGCGAAAGCGUGGGGAGCAAACAGGAUUAGAUACCCUGGUAGUCCACGCUGUAAACGAUGUCGAUUUGGAGGUUGUGCCCUUGAGGCGUGGCUUCCGGAGCUAACGCGUUAAAUCGACCGCCUGGGGAGUACGGCCGCAAGGUUAAAACUCAAAUGAAUUGACGGGGGCCCGCACAAGCGGUGGAGCAUGUGGUUUAAUUCGAUGCAACGCGAAGAACCUUACCUACUCUUGACAUCCAGAGAACUUUCCAGAGAUGGAUUGGUGCCUUCGGGAACUCUGAGACAGGUGCUGCAUGGCUGUCGUCAGCUCGUGUUGUGAAAUGUUGGGUUAAGUCCCGCAACGAGCGCAACCCUUAUCCUUUGUUGCCAGCGGUUCGGCCGGGAACUCAAAGGAGACUGCCAGUGAUAAACUGGAGGAAGGUGGGGAUGACGUCAAGUCAUCAUGGCCCUUACGAGUAGGGCUACACACGUGCUACAAUGGCGUAUACAAAGAGAAGCGACCUCGCGAGAGCAAGCGGACCUCAUAAAGUACGUCGUAGUCCGGAUUGGAGUCUGCAACUCGACUCCAUGAAGUCGGAAUCGCUAGUAAUCGUAGAUCAGAAUGCUACGGUGAAUACGUUCCCGGGCCUUGUACACACCGCCCGUCACACCAUGGGAGUGGGUUGCAAAAGAAGUAGGUAGCUUAACCUUCGGGAGGGCGCUUACCACUUUGUGAUUCAUGACUGGGGUGAAGUCGUAACAAGGUAACCGUAGGGGAACCUGCGGUUGGAUCACCUCCUUA
rnacentral:ncRNA from 1 species